rnacentral:rRNA from 1 species
CGGAGGGUGCGAGCGUUGUCCGGAAUCACCGGGCGUAAAGGGCGCGUAGGUGGCUCGGCAAGCGUGCGGUGAAAGUUCGAGGCUCAACCUCGAAUCGGCCGUGCGAACUGCCAGGCUUGAGCACUGUAGAGGCAGAUGGAAUUCCGGGUGUAGCGGUGGAAUGCGUAGAGAUCCGGAAGAACACCGGUGGCGAAGGCGGUCUGCUGGGCAGUUGCUGACACUGAGGCGCGACAGCGUGGGGAGCAAACAGGAUUAGAUACCCUGGUAGUCCACGCCGUAAACGAUGGGCACUAGAUGCUUGGGGGAGCGACCCCCUGAGUGUCGGCGCUAACGCAUUAAGUGCCCCGCCUGGGGAGUACGGCCGCAAGGCUG